UAGCCAAUGGUGCUAAUGAGUUACCAAAAAUACCAUCUUUGAGGACUGAAUGGCUUUAUUAUUGUUAUUUUAUGCCCUGCUCUUAUUCUUCAAUUCUGAGGCUU